GACUGACACAACAGCAGACUGACUGUUUUUCAGUUCUGAUUAGACACUAGUGUUGAGAUGUCUGUCUGUCAUGAUAGCAUGUACUGAGUCGGGGCCAGUACCAGAUAAGCACAUUAAACUAUAAUCCAUAAACGUAAGGUAACAACCGAGACCUAAUGGUGCUGUGACAGCAACGCGAUUGAGUUUGAGACAGUGAAAAUACAUAUGGUAUGUUGUUUCUGAACAGAUUAGCUUACGAGCUAAAGUUACUUAGCACAGAUGAAAG